GAACAACCUCCUCUGUGUGAUCGCAUCGGGACUACUUCCCCUACAGCACCUGCCGCAGGCAUCAGCUUUACCUGUACCUGUCUGUGAACCCCUUGAGGAUUCUCAAGACAGAGCACUUGAGUGGCCCAGCUCACGUCCUUCCUGCCAGGUGAUGGUGAGAAUCCACUGGGGAUCCUGGGAAAGUUUCCUUUCCUGAUGAAAGGAGCAGGAGAGGCUGGUGCCAUCUCUCUCUCGUGCUUCCUGUCUUGGUUGAGAUUCCUGGCCAUCCCAAGUGAUCCUAGGACCAGGAGGCAGAAACCAGUACACCGGGUGGAUUCUUUAGCAGCUGAGCCACAAUGGAAGCCCAAGAAUACUGGAGUGGAUAGACUAUCCCUUCUCCAGCAGAUCUUCCUGACCCAGAAAUCAAACCAGGGUCUCCUGCAUUGAGGCAGAUUCUUUACCAACUGAGCUAUCAGGGGAGUUGUGUUACUUACAACUAAACAUAUUCCUAACUGAUUCAGUAUCUGUAAAAAUCUGUGUAUGCUAAGAUUCUAAGUGUAGUAGGCUGGGUGGACCCACAAGCUCAGGUGGCAUCCUA
ensembl:lncRNA